UGGAGGGCAAGUCUGGUGCCAGCAGCCGCGGUAAUUCCAGCUCCAAUAGCGUAUAUUAAAGUUGUUGAGGUUAAAAAGCUCGUAGUUGAACCUUGGGCCUAGCCGGCCGGUCCGCCUCACCGCGUGCACUGGCUCGGCUGGGUCUUUCCUUCUGGAGAACCGCAUGCCCUUCACUGGGUGUGCUGGGGAACCAGGACUUUUACUCUGAAUAAAUUAGAUCGCUUAAAGAAGGCCUAUGCUCGAAUACAUUAGCAUGGAAUAAUAGAAUAGGACGUGUGGUUCUAUUUUGUUGGUUUCUAGGACCGCCGUAAUGAUUAAUAGGGACAGUCGGGGGCAUCAGUAUCCAAUUGUCAGAGGUGAAAUUCUUGGAUUUAUUGAAGACUAACUACUGCGAAAGCAUUUGCCAAGGAUGUUUUCAUUAAUCAGGAACGAAAGUUAGGGGAUCGAAGACGAUCAGAUACCGUCGUAGUCUUAACCAUAAACUAUGCCGAUUAGGGAUCGGACGGCGUUAUUUUUUGACCCGUUUGGCACCUUACGGGAAAC
rnacentral:rRNA from 1 species